CACCAGCCGGCGAAGGUAGGGGGGCACU
rnacentral:sRNA from 1 species